rnacentral:lncRNA from 1 species
UGACUUUUACCUGCAGGUGUGUCUAGCAUCCCAAGGAGCAAACAGAAAAUGGUAUCUUGAUAGCGGAUGCUCGAGACACAUGACUGGUGAUGAAUCCCAAUUCAUCACACUUGAUGCUAAGAAUGGAGGGAUGGUCACCUUUGGAGACAAUGGUAAAAAAAAGAUCAUCGGUAUAGGUAACAUUGGUAUCACUCCCUCCAAGUAUAUUGAAAAUAUUCUGUUA